UCGGGAAUUUUGGGCAAUGGGCGAAAGCCUGACCCAGCAACGCCGCGUGAAGGAUGAAGUAUUUCGGUAUGUAAACUUCGAAAGAAUAGGAAGAAUAAAUGACGGUACUAUUUAUAAGGUCCGGCUAACUACGUGCCAGCAGCCGCGGUAAUACGUAGGGACCAAGCGUUGUUCGGAUUUACUGGGCGUAAAGGGCGCGUAGGCGGCAAUUCAAGUCAUCUGUGAAAUCUCCGGGCUUAACUCGGAACGGUCAGAUGAUACUGCUUUGCUAGAGUGCAGAAGGGGCAAUCGGAAUUCUUGGUGUAGCGGUGAAAUGCGUAGAUAUGUGGAAGAACACCGGUGGUGAAGACGGUUUACUGGGCUGUAACUGACGCUGAGGCGCGAAAGCAUGGGGAGCAAACAGGAUUAGAUACCCCCGUAGUCCCUGAGCGGGCUGGCAAGGCGCAU
rnacentral:rRNA from 1 species